GACGAACGCUGGCGGCGUGCUUGACACAUGCAAGUCGAACGGAAAGGCCUGCUUUCCCUUGUGGAUUGCGGGUACUCGAGUGGCGAACGGGUGAGUAACACGUGAGUGAUCUGCCCCCAACUUGGGUAUAAGCCUGGGAAACUGGGUCUAAUUCCCGAUAGGACUGCAGGGUGGUGCCUGUGGUGGAAAACGAUUUUCUAGUGGUUGGGGAUGAGCUCGCGGCCUAUCAGCUUGUUGGUGGGGUAAUGGCCUACCAAGGCGGCGACGGGUAGCCGGCCUGGGAGGGUGGACGGCCACAUUGGGACUGAGAUACGGCCCAGACUCCUACGGGAGGCAGCAGUGGGGAAUAUUGCACAACGGGCGGAAGCCUGAUGCAGCGACGCCGCGUGGGGGAUGACGGCCUUCGGGUUGUAAACUCCUUUCGACCGCGAGGAAGCCACCUGGUUGGAAGGGUGGUGACGGUAGUGGUAGAAGAAGCACCGGCUAACUACGUG
rnacentral:rRNA from 1 species